UUCAACAACAAACACUUCCACCCAAGAUUGUGCAUGGGGCUUAUCAAAAGGAAGGAAAAAGGAGGUACUGUACUAGAAGACCUUACCAAAUGCAGAUGCAAAUGAAGAGAAAGGUGUUAGGGGAGUUGUUACUGACAUUGUUAUAGAAGAUAAUGGUCAACCAAAAGGAACAACACCAGGCAUAUUAGCCAGAGAAGGAGAAGCAAAAUUGGCAGUUUGUUUCCUAACAUUGUAGAAAAAACAACAAUCUGUAUUAAAAGCUGUAAAUGAAGAAUCCACAUUAGGUUAUGUUGAGGAAUUAUUUGAUGCUCUUCCUUUGAGAGUCGGUAUGAGAUCAAAACGCUUAAGGAUGCACUUGACAAUGCAAAAGAAAAUCAUGACGUCAUUCCUGAACAAAUAAAAAAGUACUUUAUUUGGACUGAUAAGGCUACACUGGUUAGGGAAAGAAAGUCAAGAUUCAAAUGAAACAGAAGUUUAAUGUAGGUUAUGCAGUAAUGUUAAAAUUAGGAAUUCAAGUGCAAGUAUCGGAAGGAAAUGGCUUCCAUAUUGUAAGAACUGCACAUGCUGGUAUUACUCUUCGGUUGUUUCAGCCAAGCUUGUGCCAGAUCCAACAUAUGAAUCGCCUGUAUGCAACAUGACGGUACAAUCUAAUACAGUAAUGUUAAUGCAGGACCCCAAUGGAAAUAAACCUGCUAUUGGUUUUCUUGGGCUAUCCUGGCCAAUGUUUGUUAAUGUUUCCCUGUUUGUUAACUGUAAACUUUUGGCUGAAUAAAUAAAUGAAUGAA
rnacentral:lncRNA from 1 species